rnacentral:ncRNA from 1 species
GCAGAGUAAGAUCGAAAGCGUUAAGUGUUCGGCGGACGGGGAGUUGUCGCCGGAACGAAGAGCCUCACGGCUUGCGGUUUUCGGUCUGCAUCCCGCUGC